UCUGAACUCCUCCACCUGGGUGUUGCUGCAGCCAGAGGACUUUGUAUUUAAGCAGACACACCCCGGGAACAUCUGAGCUAAAGCCCACAUUUCUUUUCCAUUGUCUUGUCCCACAUUCUCAUAAGCUUAGGUCACAUAUGUCCUACAAUAAGGCAGACUUUUUUCCACACUUCCCUCUCCACACGUCUGCUGGCUCAGGCUGGAUCCACAAAGCCUGGUACCUUCUGCAGGGACACAAGAGGGACCUGCCAUGACAGUGCAGCUUCUUGGCACAGCACCCUUCAUUAUAAAGCACAUUAGGGACCAUUUCCUGCUGGUAUCGCAUGGAGCCUCUGCAUGCAUCUGGGUGGCACCUUCAGCAAGAACGAAGAGCUGAAAGUAUUAGUUUUCACAAGGGUUAUUCUUACCUCUCCCAAAAUGUUUCCCACCAUGCUAGAGUGUGAUUUCUGAAACAAAUAUGUUCUGUUUAUUUAUUUAAUGUGCUGUUAAAUGACCUUCUGUAAAGCUAUUACUGCCAAAAGGCUUUAAAAUGGAUGGGCAGGCAUAUAACUUAAGAGAGCAUGCUCCUUACAAUCAGGAUGAAUCAUUUGAGUAGUUACUGUUUGGAUUGAUAUAAUUUUAGUUAUAAUUAUGGGUAACGAGAAGGCAUUUAGAGUCUGUAAUAUUGUAAUUCAUGGUGAGAGGAGUCCUAAAUUAAAUAAAAUAUAUCCAAAUUUGCUUUUUCUUCCUAUCUAGGUAUUAUGCACGUAAGCAUGAUUCUUUAAGGAACAGAUUUUCUGCUGCUGUCUAGUAUCUAGCAAAAGUAGGUCAAAAAUGACAUCUAGAGAUAACAUGUUUGGUAACCACAAAGGGACUGUCUGUGUCUUUCUUUUUGGCCUUUUAAGAGUCCUAUAAUAAAUUACUAUAGGUAUAGCAGCAGCAUGAAAAGAUUUUGAUCCAUAGACUCCCAUGGCCUGUGGUGGUGGAUCAGGGGUACAUAUUGUCACUUUUAUUAUCCCAUUACACUAAUAGAAGAUGAUAAAAUUAUAUUAGCAAGGGUCUGGGAAUACAAAAAAAGAACAUUAUAAACACAUAAACCUGCUGUCAUCUGCCUAGCUCUAGAGUACCACCAGACCUUGGACUAUGCCACUCAAGUGGUUGGUGUGCUCCUGCUGACCCCAAAAACCAAACAGUGACAGCAAUCCCCAAGUGAAGGGCUUGAAAACCACCCCAUGAACAGACAGCCCGUGUCAUUUGGUUAGUGUGGCUUUUGGCCAUGGAGAGAAGGCGGAAAGGAGGCUAGAGGGAGAGAACGAAAGCACGGGGUUUGGCACAUGUGUGCACAUGUGAGUGAGCUCACCACAGCUCUCACGAGCCAGGAACCAUGUGGGGACGAAGCAGCACAGCUGAGCAGUGCUGGUGCCAGCCCGCGGAGGCCGGACACAUGGCGAUUAGCUGUUAACAUGCAGUUGACAGUUGUCUCGGAUCGCAGACAUGUUUGAGUGCUCCUAUUUCAGAAGUUUCACAGCUGUGUUUGUACAGCAAGAUCUGAAUGAGGAGAGGGAAGCUGUGCCACGGGCAAGGAGCAGGAAAGUGAUUGGUAGAAGGAAUCCUGAGUCCUGACACAUCUGCAUUAAAAUAGAUACAACUUUUCACAUCUGCUGAUGGCUUGAUAAUUAAUGUUAACUAAAAGCAAAGCUUCAGGAUCUGCAACUGAUAUUUCGCAUAUGCUGUACAAGACAUCAGCAUAAUGAACACCCUCAACCACAUUUUCAUAACAUAAUUUAAGUGACAGGGUUUUCUUUAUGGUGCAGGUUGAACUACAUUUCAACAACAGCCCAGGAAGCAGCAAAGUUUGCCCAUCAAGUGCUGUUUAAAUGUCCAAGCUGCUAUGCCCCAGACUGUGGGUGACAAGCUCUCCGCAUACUCCCUGAAUCUCUUAGCAACUUGAUAAUGAAAUACAUAAACUAUGACCCUUAUUGAUCACGGCUUACACUAAUUAAUUUCCCAAAGUCCUGUCCCAGCCUGCAGUGAUAUCAAUGCAA